rnacentral:rRNA from 1 species
AUUGAACGCUGGCGGCAUGCCUAACACAUGCAAGUCGAACGAGUGGCGGACGGGUGAGUAAUGUGUGGGAAACUGCCCGAUGGAGGGGGAUAACUACUGGAAACGGUAGCUAAUACCGCAUACCAUCGGAUGUGCCCAGAUGGGAUUAGCUAGUAGGUGGGGUAAAGGCUCACCUAGGCGACGACACCUAGCUGGUCUGAGAGGAGGACCGGCAACACUGGAACUGAGGAACGGUCCAGACUCCGACGGGAGGCAGCAGUGGGAAAUAUUGCACAAGGGGCGCAAGCCUGAGGCAGCCAUGCCGCGUGUAUGAAGAAGGCCUGGGGGUUGUAAAGUACUUUCAGCGGGGAGGCGUUACCCGCAGAAGAAGCACCGGCUAACUCCGUGCCAGCAGCCGCGGUAAUUC